rnacentral:rRNA from 1 species
CCUACGGGGGGCAGCAGUGGGGGAUAUUGCACAAUGGGGGGAACCCUGAUGCAGCGACGCCGCGUGGGUGAAGGAGUGCUUCGGCAUGUAAAGCCCUAUCGGCAGGGAAGAAGCAAGACGGUACCUGACUAAGAAGCCCCGGCUAACUACGUGCCAGCAGCCGCGGUAAUACGUAGGGGGCGAGCGUUAUCCGGAUUUACUGGGUGUAAAGGGAGCGUAGACGGUAUGGCAAGUCUGAAGUGAAAGCCCAGGGCUUAACCCUGGGACUGCUUUGGAAACUGUUAGACUAGAGUGCUGGAGAGGUAAGUGGAAUUCCUAGUGUAGCGGUGAAAUGCGUAGAUAGUAGGAGGAACACCAGUGGCGAAGGCGGCUUACUGGACAGUAACUGACGUUGAGGCUCGAAAGCGUGGGGAGCAAACAGGAUUAGAUACCCCUGUAGUC